AGCGCGAAAACCGUCUUCUAUCUCAGUAUUCUCGUGACGGCGCCGCGUCUCCUUUUAAGAACUGUGCUCUUUCUGCGGGCCGCCCACAGAAUAUAAGCUGGCCGGCCGACACCGGAGCGGCAAAUAUGUUUCCGGGUAUAUUGCUUGGAGGGAGAGCGGCGUGCUGAGCAUGGGAACCGGUAUAUAGGCGCGGGCCAGCUCAACCGUCAUCGCCUUUGAAGACGCCACCUGAUUCGCUCUCGCACCGCUCACUGCGCCCUCUCGGAUAACACACGUCGGCCGCACUCCUGAGGCGGGAACAUGAAGACUGUGCUGUCCCUCAUCACUUUCUGCUUUUCGGCUGCUGUCCUGCUGGCUGGCUACGGUUACGGAUACGGAUUAGGGGCAUAUAAUGGCUAUGGAGCAUACGGCGGCUACGGAGGUUACGGCGUAAAUGGCCUCUACGGCGCAUACGGCUUGGCGGGGGGCCUUGGCGGCUACGGGCCUGGCGGCUACGGGCUUGGCGGCUUAGGAGCACUCGACUACUACUGACGGAUCUUCUGCGCUGCAUUAAAGGGACUGGCAAUGUGCUGAA